UACGGGGGGGGAAAGCGUGGUUCGGAAUUACUGGGCGUAAAGGGCUCGUAGGCGGCCAACUAAGUCAGACGUGAAAUCCCUCGGCUCAACUGAGGAACUGCCUUUGAAACUGUCGGGCUUGAGGCCGGGAGGGGGUAGCGGAAUUCCCAGUGUAGCGGUGAAAUGCGUAGAUAUUGGGAGGAACACCGGUGGCGAAGGCGGCUACCUGGACCGGUUCUGACGCUGAUGCGCGAAAGCGUGGGUAGCAAGCAGG
rnacentral:rRNA from 1 species